rnacentral:rRNA from 1 species
AACGCGAAGAACCUUACCUACCCUUGACAUCCUCGGAACCUGGUAGAGAUAUCGGGGUGCCUUCGGGAACCGAGAGACAGGUGCUGCAUGGCUGUCGUCAGCUCGUGUCGUGAGAUGUUGGGUUAAGUCCCGUAACGAGCGCAACCCCUAUUCUUAGUUGCCAACAGGUAAAGCUGGGAACUCUAAGGAGACUGCCGGUGAUAAGCCGGAGGAAGGUGGGGAUGACGUCAAGUCAUCAUGGCCCUCACGGGUAGGGCUACACACGUGCUACAAUGGGCGGUACAAAGGGAAGCGAAACUGCAAAGUGGAGCGAAUCUCAUAAAGCCGCUCUUAGUCCGGAUUGGAGUCUGCAACUCGACUCCAUGAAGUUGGAAUCGCUAGUAAUCGCGGAUCAGAACGCCGCGGUGAAUACGUUCCCGGGCCUUGUACACACCGGAGUGC